GCAUUGGUGUUUCAGUGACACAAUUCUCGCCUUCCAUACGGAAGACCUGGGUUUGAUUCCUAGCCAACGCA
rnacentral:tRNA from 1 species